rnacentral:rRNA from 1 species
GGCGAGCGGCGGACGGGUGAGUAAUGCCUAGGAAUCUGCCUGGUAGUGGGGGAUAACGCUCGGAAACGGACGCUAAUACCGCAUACGUCCUACGGGAGAAAGCAGGGGACCUUCGGGCCUUGCGCUAUCAGAUGAGCCUAGGUCGGAUUAGCUAGUUGGUGAGGUAAUGGCUCACCAAGGCGACGAUCCGUAACUGGUCUGAGAGGAUGAUCAGUCACACUGGAACUGAGACACGGUCCAGACUCCUACGGGAGGCAGCAGUGGGGAAUAUUGGACAAUGGGCGAAAGCCUGAUCCAGCCAUGCCGCGUGUGUGAAGAAGGUCUUCGGAUUGUAAAGCACUUUAAGUUGGGAGGAAGGGCAGUUACCUAAUACGUAAUUGUUUGA